CUCUGCUUGUUUACACACAAGACCGUCUCAUAAGGACGAAGAGCAGGAGGACUUUGAAGAACCAGAAGGAGCCGAGAGACCAGUUCUUCCCCUUCAGGAGAGCCCAAGAGUGGAAUCUGGAUCUGGUAUGAGACAAAACAGAAGAGAAGCUGAGUUGAUGUGCUGUGAGAGAACGCCCCCUUGUUUGUGAGGGAAGAACAGCAGCGGCUAGUUCACCGUUGGAGAGGGAGUUGGUUGUGGUUCAGCACACUCUGCCAGCAGUUCAA
ensembl:lncRNA